GUAGGGAAAGGCAGCUGAAAUGAACAUAGAGGGUAAAAUACCUCAAAAAACUAAAGGCUAUUGAAAGGGGGCAAAAAACUGAUUUUCAAUGAUUAUUGGGAAUCAUCUAUGACUUCCUGCAACUGAAUUUACUACAAUACAUAGAACAACAUGCCAUCCGAAGCACACAGUGCCCUUUCUAAAAGACAUUUAUCUAGCACAAAAAAAAAAAAAAAAAAAA